rnacentral:rRNA from 1 species
AACGAACGCUGGCGGCAUGCCUAACACAUGCAAGUCGAACGAGCCCUUCGGGUCUAGUGGCGCACGGGUGCGUAACGCGUGGGAACCUGCCCUUAGGUUCGGAAUAACUCCCCGAAAGGGGUGCUAAUACCGGACAAUGUCUUCGGACCAAAGAUUUAUCGCCUUUGGAUGGGCCCGCGUUGGAUUAGCUAGUUGGUAGGGUAAAAGCCUACCAAGGCGACGAUCCAUAGCUGGUCUGAGAGGAUGAUCAGCCACACUGGGACUGAGACACGGCCCAGACUCCUACGGGAGGCAGCAGUGGGGAAUAUUGGAAAAUGGGCGAAAGCCUGAUGCAGCAAUGCCGCGUGAGUGAUGAAGGCCUUAGGGUUGUAAAGCUCUUUUAACCGGGAUGAUAAUGACAGUACCGGGAGAAUAAGCUCCGGCUAACUCCGUG